AGUGAACGCUGGCGGUAGGCCUAACACAUGCAAGUCGAACGGCAGCACAGAGGAGCUUGCUCCUUGGGUGGUGAGUGGCGGACGGGUGAGGAAUACAUCGGAAUCUACUCUGUCGUGGGGGAUAACGUAGGGAAACUUACGCUAAUACCGCAUACGACCUACGGGUGAAAGCAGGGGACCUUCGGGCCUUGCGCCAUUGAAUGAGCCGAUGUCGGAUUAGCUAGUUGGCGGGGUAAAGGCCCACCAAGGCGACGAUCCGUAGCUGGUCUGAGAGGAUGAUCAGCCACACUGGAACUGAGACACGGUCCAGACUCCUACGGGAGGCAGCAGUGGGGAAUAUUGGACAAUGGGCGCAAGCCUGAUCCAGCCAUACCGCGUGGGUGAAGAAGGCCUUCGGGUUGUAAAGCCCUUUUGUUGGGAAAGAAAUCCAGCUGGCUAAUACCCGGUUGGGAUGACGGUACCCAAAGAAUAAGCACCGGCUAACUUCGUGCCAGCCGCCGCGGUAA
rnacentral:rRNA from 1 species